UACGUAGGGUGCGAGCGUUGCCCGGAUUUAUUGGGCGUAAAGGGCGCGUAGGCGGCCACGCACGUCCGUUGGUGAAAUCGCCCGGCUCAACUGGGCGGGGUCGGCGGAUACGGCGUGGCUGGAGCAAGCGUAGGGGGCAAUGGAAUUCCCGGUGUAGUGGUGGAAUGCGUAGAUAUCGGGAGGAACACCAGUGGCGAAGGCGGUUGCCUGGAGCUUUGCUGACGCUGAGGCGCGAAAGCGUGGGGAGC
rnacentral:rRNA from 1 species